AUGGGGCUCUUGUGUGGAUGUAAAGGACCCUCAGGCCACGCGGUGGAAACUGAGCUACGGCUGGGUCCUCUGGUCCUGAGUGAGGCCUCGCCAGUCCUGGAAGCUGUGCCAAAGGUGGUUCCAUGUGAUUCCAGCCUCAUUCCUCCAUGGGCCAAAUAUCCUAAACAAAGGCCUGGACACAGCGUCUUUACCCAAGUGCCCAAAAACACAAGCAGAAAGGCUCUGCAUGCCCCCGUGGCCUGCCAGAGGGAAGGAUUCUGGGAGACCAGAAGGAGACGCCAGCAUUUAGCCCCCGGCAUUUCCAGUGGGCUGCGGUCCGCUCUCAACCUCACUCCCGCAGCCCCCGCCCUCCGAGAGUCCAGGUUCCAGUUCUGUGGUGAUCUGGACUGUCCCGGCUGGGUUCUGGCAGAGAUCAGCACGCUGGCCAAGAUGUCCUCUGUGAAGUUGCAGCUGCUCUGCAGCCAGGUAUUAAUAAGCUGCUGGGACAGGGGAAUGAUUAUGAGAAGAUCCUGAAGCUCACAGCUGAUGCCAAGUUUGAGUCAGGCGAUGUGAAGGCCACAGUGGCAGUGCUGAGUUUCAUCCUCUCCAGUGCGGCCAAGCACAGUGUUGAUGGCGAAUCCUUGGCCAGUGAACUGCAGCAGCUGGGGCUGCCCCAAGAGCACGCGGCCGGCAUGUGCCACUGUUACGAGGAGAAGCAAAGCCCCUUGCAGAAGCACUUGUGGGUCUGCAACCUACGCAGUAAGUAUGAGGCCAGCCAGGGUCCAGGCUCAUUUUAG